UGAUGGGUGGCCAGUAUGAUGCUAAUAC
rnacentral:piRNA from 1 species